rnacentral:rRNA from 1 species
AUUGAACGCUGGCGGCAGGCCUAACACAUGCAAGUCGAGCGGAUGAAGGGAGCUUGCUCCUGGAUUCAGCGGCGGACGGGUGAGUAACGCCUAGGAAUCUGCCUGGUAGUGGGGGAUAACGUCCGGAAACGGGCGCUAAUACCGCAUACGUCCUGAGGGAGAAAGUGGGGGAUCUUCGGACCUCACGCUAUCAGAUGAGCCUAGGUCGGAUUAGCUAGUUGGUGGGGUAAAGGCCUACCAAGGCGACAAUCCGUAACUGGUCUGAGAGGAUGAUCAGUCACACUGGAACUGAGACACGGUCCAGACUCCUACGGGAGGCAGCAGUGGGGAAUAUUGGACAAUGGGCGAAAGCCUGAUCCAGCCAUGCCGCGUGUGUGAAGAAGGUCUUCGGAUUGUAAAGCACUUUAAGUUGGGAGGAAGGGCAGUAAGUUAAUACCUUGCUGUUUUGACGUUACCAACAGAAUAAGCACCGGCUAACUUCGUG